rnacentral:tRNA from 1 species
CCUGGUGGCUCAGAGGUUAAAGCGUCUGCCUCCAAUGCGGGAGACCUGGGUUCGAUCCCUGAGUCAGGA